AGAAAAGUAAGCUAAGUGUUAAGCUAAUGGGCUCAUACCCCACCAAUAGAGGCCUCCUCUCUUCUCUA
rnacentral:tRNA from 1 species